GUCAUGCUGUGGAACUUGCAUUGCAAUGUAAUGUAUAACUAUCAUGAAAAGAACCGCUGACUCGAUUCGGGCCUCAGCGAAAAACGAAGUGAAAAACAAAGUUUAAACAGUGAAAAGCGGUAACAGUGAAAAGCGAAGUUCUCCCAAAUUCGUUGGCACUAAAUGCCUUCGUACGGACAUUGGGUGCCAACUGCCACCAGUGACGUCAUCAAAGUGUGCUCAUUUUUGAAGACAUAAUUUCCGUGUAUUUACCGAGCACAAUUUAAAAUCGAUCAUUUUUACGUUCCAGGGUCCCUCUAUCGCGCAGGUGCUCUGCCUGCUCUGCCUGGUGACUCUGCUGGCUCUGACCGCCGAGGCCGACAAGACGGCCAGCAUCGUCAACCAGUACUACAACAACGACGGCAACGGCAACUUUGUCAACAGGUUUGAAACAUCGAAUGGCAUAGCUUCUGAGGAAGAGGCAGUCUUCUACCCCGGUCCGGAACCCGAGUCUGGAACGUUCGCGAGGAGCGGCUUCUUCUCGUACGACUGGGAGGGCGUCACCUACAAAGUGUACUGGAAGGCCGACCAGGAUGGCUUCCUAGCGACUGGCGAUCACCUGCCCAAUGGUGGCGAUGGUGAACAAUAUGGGCUUCUAUUUUAAGCACAGAAGGAAAUAAAUGAAACAUGAAAACGACGUCCAGCAGAAGGACGAAGAAAAUGGGUGACUGAACAGCGAGCAUAGUCUACAUUCACUGAGCCCGUCGAGUGAAACAGUGUCAAAUAAAGCAAAACACAGUGUCCCUGUAUGAAUGAAUGAAUGAAAUAAAGCAGAGAGCAAUCAGA